GUCAGGAAAAGCUUUAGCAGAAAUUAUUUAACUGUGUGUUGAGAUGGAGCAUUGAAGUGACUGUAGGUAGUGGGAGGAUAGCUUGGCAUCCAAGGAAGAGAGCCCAUACGUUAAUAUGUAUGGAUCAGCAUGGAUAAAACAAAAUACAUCUUUUAUCUCUGGUGCUUUCACUCUGCUCUUGGUUUGGCUGUGUCUUCCUCCUGGCCUCGUGUCUGUUGUUGCCCACAGCUGUCAUUGCAAUGUGGGUUUGACUGCCCCUUUGUUCAGUGUUCAACACAUCUCUCAGGACAUACUCCUGUGUGGCUUCCCUGAAUUCCUUUUCUUUGGUACUGUGAAAACAUUCCUGAAUGUUUCAGGUAAAUUUAGUCCUCUCUCUCUCUCUAAAGAUACUGGUCUGAGCUUUUUUGUGGGAAAUUACGAGUAGCUUUGUACUCAGCAUCUCUUAGGAUCAAGGUGUUUUAGGAAUCUGUUGAGCAUCAUCACUCUCUGUCAUUUCCCUUCAUGCCUGAGGGCCCCAGGUUGGAUUUGACACCUGAGAUAAAUGUUGCCUCAGCCUUUGGAGAGUUGAGCUGGAAGGCAGAGUAGCAGCGCCAGCUCUGGAGAGUCAAGGCAGCAAGAAAAAGAGAAAGAAAAAGGAGCAACAUCAGCACAGGAUGCAACAUAUUGGAAAUGGAAGAGAACUGGAAAAGAGCCAAAACUACAAACAUGGGGAAAAAACAAAAGAAGAGCAAAGAAAAAGAAAAAGAUGACCAGCAGGUUCAAUGAAAGUGUCACAUCAAGUUAAAUAGGUUGUGGUUUUCUUUUCACAAAGAUCAAGCACCUUCUAUACAGAUACAAGACAUGUCCCACCUAUGAACCUGGUCUUGUUUGCUGGACCAUACAGGAGCAAGAGGCAUCGAUCUCAUCCGGGAAAACAAUUGAAAGUCACAUCUGGCAGGCCUACAAAGAAAACACAGGAACACUGACAUCAGGAAAACAGCAUUGUAUGAAAGGUGAUAAAGAAGAAGUAAUCUAAAGCUGGGAAGGUAUUCUGCAUUUCUGCAUGUCCAUCAGCUGGAAAAGCCAAGAUGCUGC